rnacentral:rRNA from 1 species
UACAGAGGGGGCAAGCGUUGUUCGGAAGUACUGGGCGUAAAGGGCGCGUAGGCGGCUUGGUCAGUCCCGUGUGAAAUCCCUCGGCUCAACUGAGGAACUGCACGGGAAACUGCCUGGCUUGAGUUCGGGAGAGGGAAGCGGAAUUCCGGGUGUAGCGGUGAAAUGCGUAGAUAUCCGGAGGAACACCGGUGGCGAAGGCGGCUUCCUGGACCGACACUGACGCUGAGGCGCGAAAGCUAGGGGAGCAAACGGG